AAACCCUACACUCCUCUGUUUUUACAGGGCUGAUGCCAAACUCAGAGCUGUGUCAUCCGUCAGAGCAAUUUGUUCUCAGGGAGGGAAGGAGAAGUUGUUUUCCAGCAGGAGCGGGUUGGCUGUGGCCACAGGAGCACACUGAAGCCUGUAGCAGCAGGGAACAGGAUUUAUCCUGGUGUGAUCCUCACACCAGCAGGGAGCUUGCAUCAGGAAUAUGCAGGGACCAUGAGGUGACAAGACUCAAAAACUAGUGAAGAAAACUCUCUCUGUGCACAGCAAUUGUACAAAGCAUUGGGAAGCACACAGAGAAAACCUGCUGGAAGAAAAUGGCACAGUAUCUGAGUUUUGUAAGGAAAAAUGUAACUGAAAUAGCCAUAGGCUGGAAGUGACUGGCUGCAAAUGGAAAAAAUCUGCUACACACGUGCAGCUGAAACACAGAGCCUGAGCAAGCCUGACUGCUCGCAGACUGGCUGAGAACUUCACUGAAGGAGAGAAGCCCAAAGAGAUCCUGCUUAUCUAAACAAAGCAAGAGAUACCGAUUUCUAUUUGCCAGAAAUUUGGGCACCUAUAUGGAGCCAGCCCUGAGUUCUGGAACAGAGUAACUGAAACUGUAACACCCACCUACAAGCAUUUCAGUUUAGGAUCGUGCUUUGUGAGGCAUACCUUCAAUUUGGUGGCUCAGGGAUUUGCAAACAGUGAGUCAUAACUCCCCAGGGUCAGAAAUGCAGCUGCUGAGGCACCAGGCAUUGAAAAGUGUUGUCCAAGAUAAAAGCAAAGCAAACCUCACUGCCCACACACCCUUAUCCUUCAAGGCUGAGUAUCUUUGUCACCGUCUUUGAAAACAUGCACUCAAAAUUAUACCAGCUUCUUGUGGUUGCCAUUGAUACGGGAUUUACUUCUCCUUUUAGAGCAGACAAGAGGGGAUUGCGAAAAUCUGUCACUUGAAAGAGCUGAGGCAAAUAGAUCUGAAGCUAAUAUGCAGCACCCUGUGCUUGCAGAGAGGUGGCUGGCAUUUGAGGAGGGAAUUGCACUGUAAGACAUGUCCAUGU